rnacentral:tRNA from 1 species
GGAAUGUAGCUUAGUGGUAGAAUGCAUAUUUAGCAUGAAAAAGGCCCUGGGUUUGAUCCCCAGCGUCCA